UAUAACAAAUUAUUUAUUAUCGGGCGGACGUAGCCAAGUGGAUUAAGGC
rnacentral:tRNA from 4 species